UACGGAGGGUGCGAGCGUUGUCCGGAAUCACUGGGCGUAAAGGGCGCGUAGGCGGUCCGGUAAGCGCGUGGUGAAAGCUCGGGGCUCAACCCCGAGUCGGCCGUGCGAACUGCGGGACUGGAGCAGAUCAGAGGCAGGCGGAAUUCCGGGUGUAGCGGUGGAAUGCGUAGAGAUCCGGAAGAACACCGGUGGCGAAGGCGGCCUGCUGGGAUCUUGCUGACGCUGAGGCGCGACAGCGUGGGGAGCAAACAGG
rnacentral:rRNA from 1 species